rnacentral:rRNA from 1 species
AUUGAACGCUGGCGGCAGGCUUAACACAUGCAAGUCGAGCGGAGAUGAGGUGCUUGCACCUUAUCUUAGCGGCGGACGGGUGAGUAAUGCUUAGGAAUCUGCCUAUUAGUGGGGGACAACAUUCCGAAAGGAAUGCUAAUACCGCAUACGUCCUACGGGAGAAAGCAGGGGAUCUUCGGACCUUGCGCUAAUAGAUGAGCCUAAGUCGGAUUAGCUAGUUGGUGGGGUAAAGGCCUACCAAGGCGACGAUCUGUAGCGGGUCUGAGAGGAUGGUCCGCCGAACUGGGACUGAGACACGGCCCAGACUCCUACGGGAGGCAGCAGUGGGGAAUAUUGGACAAUGGGGGGAACCCGGAUCCAGCCAUGCCGCGUGUGUGAAGAAGGCCUUAUGGUUGUAAAGCACUUUGAGCGAGGAGGAGGCUACUGAGACUAAUACUCUUGGAUAGUGGACGUUACUCGCAGAAUAAGCACCGGCUAACUCUGUGCCAGCAGCCGCCGUAACAC